GACGAACGCUGGCGGCGUGCCUAAUACAUGCAAGUCGAGCGAAUCUUUAAAAGCUUGCUUUUGAAGAUUAGCGGCGGACGGGUGAGUAACACGUGGGCAACCUACCGGUAAGACUGGGAUAACUUCGGGAAACCGGAGCUAAUACCGGAUAAUCUGUUCCCUCGCAUGAGGGAAUGCUGAAAGACGGCGCAAGCUGUCACUUACAGAUGGGCCCGCGGCGCAUUAGCUAGUUGGUGAGGUAACGGCUCACCAAGGCGACGAUGCGUAGCCGACCUGAGAGGGUGAUCGGCCACACUGGGACUGAGACGCGGCCCAGACUCCUACGGGAGGCAGCAGUAGGGAAUCUUCCGCAAUGGACGAAAGUCUGACGGAGCAACGCCGCGUGAGCGAAGAAGGCCUUCGGGUCGUAAAGCUCUGUUGUUAGGGAAGAACAAGUAUCGGAGUAACUGCCGGUACCUUGACGGUACCUAACCAGAAAGCCACGGCUAACUACGUGCCAGCCGCCGCGGUAAUAC
rnacentral:rRNA from 1 species